rnacentral:tRNA from 1 species
UGGUUGGGUGGUAAAACGCAUGUCUUCCAAACAAAGGGCCCAGGUUCGAAUCCUGG